CCUACGGGAGGCAGCAGUGAGGAAUAUUGGUCAAUGGGCGCAAGCCUGAACCAGCCAAGUCGCGUGAGGGAUGACGGUCCUAUGGAUUGUAAACCUCUUUUGUCGGGGAGCAAGGCCCGCCACGUGUGGCGGGAAGGAGAGUACCCGAAGAAAAAGCAUCGGCUAACUCCGUGCCAGCAGCCGCGGUAAUAGGGAGGAUGCGAGCGUUAUCCGGAUUUAUUGGGUUUAAAGGGUGCGUAGGCGGAAGGUUAAGUCAGCGGUAAAAUGUCGGUGCGCAACACCGGCCUGCCGUUGAAACUGGUCUUCUUGAGUGAGCGAGAAGUAUGCGGAAUGCGUGGUGUAGCGGUGAAAUGCAUAGAUAUCACGCAGAACUCCGAUUGCGAAGGCAGCAUACCGGCGCUCAACUGACGCUGAGGCACGAAAGCGUGGGGAUCGAACAGGAUUAGAUACCCCAGUAGUC
rnacentral:rRNA from 1 species